CCCUUAGAUGUUCUGGGCCGCACGCGCGCUACACUGAUGCAUUCAACGAGUCUAAAACCUGGUCUGAUAGGGCUGGGUAAUCUUUUGAAUGUGCAUCGUGAUUGGGAUAGAUGAUUGCAAUUCUUCAUCUUCAACGAGGAAUGCCUAGUAAACGCAAGUCAUCAGCUUGCAUUGAUUACGUCCCUGCCCUUUGUACACACCGCCCGUCGCUCCUACCGAUUGAAUGUUCCGAUGAAUACCAUGGACUGAGAGUAUGAAUGGGUUCGCCUAUUUCUGCUUCUCGGGAAGUGGAGUAAAUCUUAACAUUUAGAGGAAGGAGAAGCCGUAACA
rnacentral:rRNA from 1 species